rnacentral:rRNA from 1 species
UACGAAGGGCGCAAGCGUUAAUCGGAAUUACUGGGCGUAAAGCGUGCGCAGGCGGUUUUGUAAGUCUGACGCGAAAUCCCCGGGCUCAACCUGGGAAUUGCGUUGGAGACUGCAAGGCUGGAGUCUGGCAGAGGGGGGUAGAAUUCCACGUGUAGCAGUGAAAUGCGUAGAGAUGUGGAGGAACACCGAUGGCGAAGGCAGCCCCCUGGGUCAAGACUGACGCUCAUGCACGAAAGCGUGGGGAGCAAACAGG